rnacentral:rRNA from 1 species
GACAGAGGGGGCAAGCGUUGCUCGGAAUUACUGGGCGUAAAGGGCGCGUAGGCGGGAUGGCAAGUCGGUCGUGAAAUCCCUCGGCUCAACCGAGGAACGUCGAUCGAUACUGCUGUUCUUGAGGAUUGCAGAGGAGACUGGAAUUCCCGGUGUAGCGGUGAAAUGCGUAGAUAUCGUAAGGAAGACCAGUGGCGAAGGCGGGUCUCUGGACAGUUCCUGACGCUGAGGCACGAAGGUCAGGGGAGCAAACGGG